AAUGGUGACAAGCAGUGAGAAGAUCCGGGAUGCAGGGCCGCGGGUCUAAAGUCCCAGAUACAGGCGUGUCAGCCCACGGCCUAAUUUGGGCUCCACAAAAGAGAGGGAGGGUCAGGCACCUCUGCGUGGCCUCGGCGAACUGCGCCCGCUGGAAGUCGGCCGCCAACCGCCUAAUCUCUUCCCAGGCGUCCGCCAUCACGGCCUGACUCGCAGUAGACGCGGAGGAACUGCAGACACGUCAGCCGACAGGCGGUGGGAGGAAAAGAAAGGCGGAACGGGCCGCGCAGAGGGACAAGAGGCUCCGCCCCAGACGCAGACACACCAAACGUUUGCGCCGCCCGAGGUGCGGAGGCGCGCCGAAGUUCCUUGGUGUUGUCGCGGCGCUGGGGAUUCUUCCCGGCUGGUGGGGCCGCCGCGGUUAGAGUGAAUAAAUUCGCAUGUCAUAAAGGCUGUAUAAUUGCUUUCCUGUGGAGUUCUAGAGUCUUUCCUAGUUCUUAUUUUGAUGAUUAGCUUCAUCAAACAAUGAGGAAUAUAAACAUAAGCGCGCAUGGCUAUCAAGGAAACAGGGGAAGCAAAGAGAACAUGUAUCCUGCUUCCUUGUUGAGUAGAUAUUUACUCAGGUGUACCUUUCUCUUUUAUAUCUGUGAAUGGAAAAUCUUGGGACUCCAAAAUCACUAAGCUAAAGGGAAAAGUCAAACUGGGAACUGCUUAGGGCAAAUGGGCCUCCCAUUCUAUUCAAAGUCACCCUUCUGCUCACUAAGAUAAAUGCAAGUCUUAUUUCCUCCUUUGGAAAGGCUCAUCAGAGAAUGCAACUGUCUCUUACCUACCUAUGACAUGGAACCCUCCUCCCCACUUGGAGUCCUCCUGCCUUUCCAGCUCAAACCAAUGUUUAUCUUACAUGUAUUGAUUGCUGUCCCAUGUCUCCCUAAAAUGUAAAUAAACUUUCUGAGUUGAUUGGGACCUGGCUCAGAUA